rnacentral:rRNA from 1 species
AACGCGAAGAACCUUACCCGGGCUUGAAAUGCAUUUGACCGACUCAGAAAAGGGUCUUCCCUUCGGGGCAAAUGUGUAGGUGCUGCAUGGUUGUCGUCAGCUCGUGCCGUGAGGUGUCGGCUUAAGUGCCAUAACGAGCGCAACCCUCAUCAUUAGUUACUAACAGGUUAAGCUGAGGACUCUAGUGAGACUGCCAUCGUAAGAUGCGAGGAAGGUGGGGAUGACGUCAAAUCAGCACGGCCCUUAUGUCCGGGGCGACACACGUGUUACAAUGGAUGGUACAACAGGCAGCUACUUGGCGACAAGAUGCUAAUCCCGAAAACCAUUCUCAGUUCGGAUCGAAGUCUGCAACUCGACUUCGUGAAGCUGGAUUCGCUAGUAAUCGCGCAUCAGCCACGGCGCGGUGAAUACGUUCCCGGGCCUUGUACACACCG